rnacentral:rRNA from 1 species
GAGUUUGAUCGUGGCUCAGGAUGAACGCUGGCGGCGUGCCUAAUACAUGCAAGUCGAGCGAACAGACGAGGAGCUUGCUCCUCUGACGUUAGCGGCGGACGGGUGAGUAACACGUGGAUAACCUACCUAUAAGACUGGGAUAACUUCGGGAAACCGGAGCUAAUACCGAAUAAUAUAUUGAACCGCAUGGUUCAAUAGUGAAAAACGGUUUUGCUGUCACUUAUAGAUGGAUCCGCGCCGCAUUAGCUAGUUGGUAGGGUAACGGCUUACCAAGGCGACGAUGCGUAGCCGACCUGAGAGGGUGAUCGGCCACACUGGAACUGAGACACGGUCCAGACUCCUACGGGAGGCAGCAGUAGGGAAUCUUCCGCAAUGGGCGAAAGCCUGACGGAGCAACGCCGCGUGAGUGAUGAAGGUCUUCGGAUCGUAAAACUCUGUUAUUAGGGAAGAACAAAUGUGUAAGUAACUAUGCACGUCUUGACGGUACCUAAUCAGAAAGCCACGGCUAACUACGUGCCAGCCGCCGG